rnacentral:lncRNA from 1 species
UACAAUUGCAGUUUUUUCCUCUUCCCCUUCAACAACUAGUUCUUCAGGUGCCUCUUCAGCCGUUGAUUCUUCAGGUUUCUCUUCAAGUGCUAGUUCUUCAGGUGUUUCCUCCUUUGCCAGCUCUUCAGGUGUUUCUUUAGAUGCCGAUUCUUCAGGUUUCUCUUCAGCCAUCGGUUCUUGAGGUAUUUCCUCUACUUGUACUUCAUAUUUCUCCUCAAUUGUUUGUUCUUCAGGUUUCUCUUCAGGUUUCUCCUUAACCACUGGUACAUCAGGUUUCUCUUGAUUAACUGGUUCUUUGGGUUUUUCUUCAACAGCCGAAUCUUCAGGAUUUUCCUCAAUGUCUUGAAAGCAAGCAAUAUCUUUAGUGGUAUUGCAUGGAAUUUCACUGCCAGUUUUGUUGUUCGAGUCUACAAUUAGCAUAUUCUGCAAAAGGAAUUUGAUGUUUCAUUUAGCCUUUUAAUAAAGAAGCAGAUGUGAAUAACAUUACAUGCAUAACUUACAAAAUGGAUAAAUUUUGUGACAGUCCUUGACCCUUACCUUUUCAGGUUUCUCCUCUUCAACAGCUGAUUCUUCAUGUUUCUCUUCAAAUGCUAGUUCUCUGGGUGUUUCUUCCCGUAGUGCUUCUUCAUGUGCUUCUUCAGUUACUGGUUUUUCAGGUUUCUCCUCAAUUGUUGGUUCUUUGAUUGUCUCCUCAACAGAUGGUUCUUCAAGCUUCUCUCCCGUUGUUGAUUUUUCUGGUUUCUCUUCAAUUGCUGGUUGUUCAGGAAUUUUCUCAACAGCUGGUUCUUCUGGCUUCUCUAAAACCAUUGAUUCUUCAGCUUUCUCUUCAAUUGAUGGUUCUUCAUGGUUUUUUUCAACUAUUGGUUCUUCAGUUUUUUCCUCAACGGAUGCAUAGUCAACAAUAUCAUUGUUGGUAUUGCUUGGAAUUGCAUCGUCUGUCAUGUCCUUUGAGUUUACUUUUGGCAUAUUCUACAAUAAAGUUUCAUGUAGUCUUUCAAUAGAUAAACAGAUGUAAAUUUGUUGCAACAUAUAAAGCUAAUAUGGUGGAUAAACUUUGUGACAGUGUUUAAUCCUCACCUUCUCCCGAAGAUCUUCCGCUUUAAGUUCCUCCUCUUCAAUUGCUGUUUUUUCAUCUUUCGUUUCAACAACUAGUUCUUCAGGUGCCUCUUCAGCCGUUGAUUCUUCAGGUUUUUCUUCAAGUGCCAGCUCUUCAGGUGUUUCCUCCUUUGCCAUCUCUUCAGGUGUUUCCUCCUUUGCCAGCUCUUCAGGUGUUUCUUUAGCUGCUGGUUCUUCAGGUUUCUCUUCAGCCGCCAGUUCUUGAGGUAUCUCCUUUUCUACUUCAGAUUUCUCCUCAACUGUUGGUUCUUCAGGUUUCUCUUCAUUAACUGGUUCUUUGGGUUUUUCUUCAACAGCCGAAUCUUCAGGAUUUUCCUCAAUGUCUGGAAAGUGAGCAACAUCUUUAUUGGUAUUGCAUGCAAUUUCACUGUCAGUUUUGUCGUUCAAGUCUACAAUUAGCAUAUUC